rnacentral:tRNA from 1 species
GCCGUUUUAGCUCAGUUGGUAGAGCAACUCAUUCGUAAUGUGUAGGUCGCAAGUUCAAGUCUUGCAAGCGGCACCA